AAACACGUGCUCCGAAGGUGUGGCGUGUAGCAUGUGAAAUCCCUUCAUAGAUAGCAUAUGUGUAUGUUCCACGUUUAGGAAUUAGGAUUGGCAAUCAUGGCGACCGAGGAACAAGUAUGUGGAUUUUGGAAUUUGUGCUGCAAGACAACAUCUUCCUUUUGUUUGUCCACAACAGCAGGAAUCUCUUUACGUUGCUGUUGCGGAGCUUAAGGACAUACCGCGCCUCGGCUCUAAAUAUCUUUGGCUUUGUAUAUGGUGGCCCAUUUGGGCAUUUCCUUCACAGUGCUUGGGCUUUAUCUGUAAAUACAAGGAACCAAAACUGUAGCUGAGAUGAUAUAACUUUUAUCAUCUGACAAUCAACGCCAUAUCGGUUACUUCUUUCCCUGCGGGCGCUUUAUAUAUAAUUUAAUUUAAUAGUUCUUACGGGAAACAUAUGUACAAUACCACAGUAGAUCUUGAUCUUAUAAAGAAUUGACUAGCACAUAAAUAAUGGACCAGCAAUGUACUAUGGUUAUGUAUGUUGUUCUAUUUCUAGCAAAAUUCCUUAAAUUAUGAUUGAAGUCAAACUAGCACUGGCCGAAAGUGUGUGUGAUAGCAUGUCCGAAUACAUGAAGAUCUCCAUGAAAAUACCGUUAUCUUAUUCUACUAUUGUUCAGGGUAAGCAUGUAAUUUGUCAAAAUAGUUUAUUUCAUGAUGCUUUACUGAUUGGCAUUAAGCGCCAGUGAUAAUUUUGAAAUUGCGUUACCGAUGUUUAAACAAAAGAAAUGUUCUUCUAGUUUUUUUUUCUUUUUCUCAGCCAUACUUUUGGUUCAAAAUGUUCUUCCAGUAACCAGUUGUUUUAUUUUUAUCAGCCGGACUUUUGGGUUAAAUUGUGCUUCGAGGUCAUGAAUCCGCAGCAAUGGAUUGUGCCAGUGGGUGCAAGGCAUCAUCUGGUGAGAAGAAUGCACACCAUGCUCUAGCAUGAUAAUAAGGUAAGGGUAAUACAUUACUUCGCCUGCUGCCAGUUCUACUGUGAUUUGCUCUUCUCAGUCUUCUGUGAGUUUUAUCCUUUCUCUUCAUGCAUGCGUGAUAUAUGUGAAACCUUGCUUUAUUGUGUUAAAAGGCAGUGAUAUGUUUGCGUAGAGUUGAACUCAACUUCUUUGCCCGAUGCCAUCUUAAUUACUACUAUGUAAUGCUGAUGUUGAAAGACCAAUCAUAUACUGUCGGUUCGUUUGGCUUAUUUUUGGGACAAGGUAAUUCCUGACUAUGCCAUCUUGUAAUGAUCAGUUCUUCUAGCAAAACCAAAACAGUAGGGCAACGCAAUAUGGCUUGUGACACGUGAAAUUUCAUUAUUAGAAAGUAAAAGUAAGAAGCAUUACGAAAGGGGUCUAGGACUGGUUUCUUCAAUCUUUAUUUAUCACAUCGGUACACUUCAGUCCAGUUCAAGCAGUCUUCCAACAGUGCACCAUCAGGCAAGCAUAAGUCUAUUACUCCAGAAGCUGGUGAUAUUUUCCUUCAAAAAAGACUCGCCUUGUAUCUUUGUUGAACUAGUACAUGCAGGCUACAAAGAUACUGUCAUGUG